rnacentral:rRNA from 1 species
UACGUAGGGUGCGAGCGUUGUCGCGAAUUACUGGGCGUAAAGGGCUCGUAGGCGGCCAACUAAGUCGGAUGUGAAAUCCCCAGGCUUAACCUGGGAACUGCAUCCGAUACUGGAUGGCUUGAAUCCGGGAGAGGGAUGCAGAAUUCCAGGUGUAGCGGUGAAAUGCGUAGAUAUCUGGAGGAAUACCGGUGGCGAAGGCGGCAUCCUGGACCGGCAUUGACGCUGAUGAGCGAAAGCUAGGGGAGCAAACGGG